rnacentral:rRNA from 1 species
UAUCAUAGCGGAGGAAAAGAAACUAACAAGGAUUCCCCUAGUAACUGCGAGUGAAGCGGGAGAAGCUCAAAUUUGAAAUCUGGCGGUUUUUCUUUUACUGUCCGAGUUGUAAUCUAGAGAAGUGUUACCUGUGCUGGACCGUGUACAAGUCUCCUGGAAUGGAGCAUCAUAGAGGGUGAGAAUCCCGUCUUUGACACGGACUACCUGUACGCUGUGGUGCGCUCUCAAAGAGUCGAGUUGUUUGGGAAUGCAGCUCAAAACGGGUGGUAAAUGCCAUCUAAAGCUAAAUAUUGGCGAGAGACCGAUAGCGAACAAGUACCGUGAGGGAAAGAUGAAAAGAACUUUGGAAAGAGAGUUAAACAGUACGUGAAAUUGCUGAAAGGGAAACGCUUGAAGUCAGUCGCGUUGGCUAGAAAUCAGCCUUGCUUUUGCUUGGUGUACUUUCUGGUUUUCAACGGGUCAGCAUCAAUUUUGACCAUUGGAUAAAGUCUUUGGGAAUGUGGCAUCUUUGGAUGUGUUAUAGCCCAUCGUCGCAUGCAGUGGUUGGGAUUGAGGAACUCAGCACGCCGCAAAGGCCAGGUUUCGACCAUGUUUACGUGCUUAGGAUGCUGGCAUAAUGGCUUUAAUCGACCCGUCUUGAAACACGGACCAAGGAGUCUAACAUGCCUGCGAGUGUUUGGGUGGAAAACCCAUGCGCGAAAUGAAAGUGAAAGUUGAGAUCCCCUGUAAAAAGGGGGAGCAUUGACGCCCGGACCAGACCUUUUGUGACGGAUCUGCGGUAGAGCAUGUAUGUUGGGACCCGAAAGAUGGUGAACUAUGCCUGAAUAGGGUGAAGCCAGAGGAAACUCUGGUGGAGGCUCGUAGCGAUUCUGACGUGCAAAUCGAUCGUCAAAUUUGGGUAUAGGGGCGAAAGACUAAUCGAACCAUCUAGUAGCUGGUCCUGCACUCC